GAUGAACGCUAGCGGCAGGCUUAACACAUGCAAGUCGAGGGGCAGCGGGAGAUGUGCUUGCACAUUUUGCCGGCGACCGGCGCACGGGUGCGUAACGCGUAUGCAACCUACCCAUAACAGGGGGAUAACACUGAGAAAUUGGUACUAAUACCCCGUAAUAUUACUGAAGGCAUCUUUAGUAGUUGAAAGUUCCGGCGGUUAUGGAUGGGCAUGCGUUGUAUUAGCUAGUUGGUGGGUAACGGCUCACCAAGGCGACGAUACAUAGGGGGACUGAGAGGUUAACCCCCCACAUUGGUACUGAGACACGGACCAAACUCCUACGGGAGGCAGCAGUGAGGAAUAUUGGGUCAAUGGGCGCAAGCCUGAACCAGCCAAGUAGCGUGAAGGAUGACUGCCCUAUGGGUUGUAAACUUCUUUUUUACGGGAACAACCGCACCUACGUGUAGGUGUCUGCGUGUACCGUACGAAUAAGCAUCGGCUAACUCCGUG
rnacentral:rRNA from 1 species